rnacentral:rRNA from 1 species
AUGAACGCUGGCGGCGUGCCUAAUACAUGCAAGUCGAGCGAACGGACGAGAAGCUUGCUUCUCUGAUGUUAGCGGCGGACGGGUGAGUAACACGUGGAUAACCUACCUAUAAGACUGGGAUAACUUCGGGAAACCGGAGCUAAUACCGGAUAAUAUUUUGAACCGCAUGGUUCAAAAGUGAAAGACGGUCUUGCUGUCACUUAUAGAUGGAUCUGCGCUGCAUUAGCUAGUUGGUAAGGUAACGGCUUACCAAGGCAACGAUGCAUAGCCGACCUGAGAGGGUGAUCGGCCACACUGGAACUGAGACACGGUCCAGACUCCUACGGGAGGCAGCAGUAGGGAAUCUUCCGCAAUGGGCGAAAGCCUGACGGAGCAACGCCGCGUGAGUGAUGAAGGUCUUCGGAUCGUAAAACUCUGUUAUUAGGGAAGAACAUAUGUGUAAGUAACUGUGCACAUCUUGACGGUACCUAAUCAGAAAGCCACGGCUAACUACGUG